GCCUUUUUUGUUCAAUGAGAGAACAGCGCCUUUUAGGCGGAUUGUGUUGGUUAAAUUCCAACGUAAGGUG
rnacentral:tRNA from 1 species